GACGAACGCCGGCGGCGUGCUUAACACAUGCAAGUCGAGCGGUAAGGCCCUUUCGGGGGUACACGAGCGGCGAACGGGUGAGUAACACGUGGGUGACCUGCCCUCAGCUCUGGGAUAAGCCUGGGAAACCGGGUCUAAUACUGGAUAUGACUCCAUGACGCAUGUUGUGGGGUGGAAAGCCUUGUGCGGCUGAGGAUGGGCCCGCGGCCUAUCAGCUUGUUGGUGGGGUGANGGCCUACCAAGGCGACGACGGGUAGCCGGCCUGAGAGGGCGACCGGCCACACUGGGACUGAGACACGGCCCAGACUCCUACGGGAGGCAGCAGUGGGGAAUCUUGCGCAAUGGGCGAAAGCCUGACGCAGCGACGCCGCGUGAGGGAUGACGGCCU
rnacentral:rRNA from 1 species